GGCUGGGUGGGGCAGUUGGUAGCACUGCUGCCUUUGCAGCAAGUAGGUCCUGGGUUUAAGUCUCGGCCAGAGGUCU